UGGUGGAGUGAUUUGUCUGCUUAAUUGCGAUAACGAACGAGACCUUAACCUGCUAAAUAGCCGGGCCCGCUUUGGCGGGUCGCCGGCUUCUUAGAGGGACUAUCGGCUCAAGCCGAUGGAAGUUUGAGGCAAUAACA
rnacentral:rRNA from 1 species